UCCGGAGAAGCCAAAGCUCGAGUCUUUCACCAAUCCUUCUCUCAAUCGCAUCUAAACCAUGGGCGAGCUCAGUUCCACAACGAUCGCCAAGGAUGUCACCGAGUUGAUCGGAAAAACCCCGUUGGUGUACUUAACGACUGUGACGGCGGGAUGCGCUGCCCGGGUGGCGGCGAAGCUAGAGAUGAUGGAGCCCUGCUCCAGCGUCAAAGAUAGGAUUGGGUAUAGUAUGAUCAGUGAUGCGGAGGAGAAGGGGCUUAUCACACCUGGAAAGAGCGUUCUGAUUGAACCUACUAGUGGUAACACCGGCAUAGGGCUGGCUUUCAUGGCAGCUGCCAAGGGCUAUAAGCUUACACUCACCAUGCCAGCCUCAAUGAGUCUCGAGAGAAGGAUCAUUCUCAAGGCCUUCGGUGCUGAGUUAGUCCUUACAGAUCCAGUUCUCGGCAUGAAAGGUGCUGUUCAGAAGGCGGAAGAAUUGGCUGCUAAGACCCCCAACUCAUACAUCCUUCAACAGUUUGAAAAUCCAUCCAACCCCAAGAUCCAUUAUGAGACAACGG
rnacentral:misc_RNA from 1 species